rnacentral:rRNA from 1 species
AUUGAACGCUGGCGGCAUGCCUAACACAUGCAAGUCGAACGGCAGCACAGCAGUAGCAAUACUGUGGGUGGCGAGUGGCGGACGGGUGAGGAAUACGUCGGAAUCUGCCCAGUCGUGGGGGAUAACUAGCCGAAAGGUUAGCUAAUACCGCAUACGACCGAGAGGUGAAAGCGGGGGACCGCAAGGCCUCGCGCGAUUGGAUGAGCCGACGUCGGAUUAGCUAGUUGGCGGGGUAAAGGCCCACCAAGGCGACGAUCCGUAGCUGGUCUGAGAGGAUGAUCAGCCACACUGGAACUGAGACACGGUCCAGACUCCUACGAGAGGCAGCAGUGGGGAAUAUUGGACAAUGGGCGCAAGCCUGAUCCAGCAAUGCCGCGUGUGUGAAGAAGGCCUUCGGGUUGUAAAGCACUUUUAUCAGGAACGAAAAGCGUUGGAUUAAUACUCUGACGUGCUGACGGUACCUGAGGAAUAAGCACCGGCUAACUUCGUG